AGGCGGCCGGACAGCUGCGCCCGGGAAGGGAAAAUCCCAGGGUGAGGAAAGUCCGGGCUUCCAGGAAACAAAACACCAGAUAACGUCUGGCCGGGGUGACCCGAGGGAAAGUGCCGCAGAAAAUUACCGCCGAUGAAAUACCGGAAUCCUCCGGCUUAUUUCAGGUAAGGUUGAAAAGGUGAGGUAAGAGCUCACCGCGUCGCCGGUAACGGUGUCGGUCAAGGUAAACCCUGUUUGAAGCAAGACCAAGUUAGGAGAUUUUUUUCUUUGAAAAAAUUUACGGGGCGUUUCCAACCCACUCCAGAGGUAGGUCGCAAUGAGCCGUUUGGUAACAGGCGGCCAAGAUGAAUAGCUGUCGCUUCGCGCGGGGUUUCGAUCUCGUUUUCGAAGUACAGAACCCGGCUUACAGGCUGCCUUAU
rnacentral:RNase_P_RNA from 1 species